CCUACGGGUGGCAGCAGUGGGGAAUAUUGCACAAUGGGGGAAACCCUGAUGCAGCGACGUCGCGUGAAGGAUGAAGUAUUUCGGUAUGUAAACUUCUAUCAGCAUGGAAGAAAAUGACGGUACCUGACUCAGAAGCCCCGUCUAACUACGUGCCAGCAGCCGCGGUAAUACGUAGGGGGCAAGCGUUAUCCGGAUUUACUGGGUGUAAAGGGAGCGUAGACGGUAUGGCAAGUCUGAUGUGAAAACCCUGGGCUCAACCGCGGGACUGCAUUGGAAACUGCCGAACUAGAGUGUCGGAGAGGCAAGUGGAAUUCGUGGUGUAGCGGUGAAAUGCGUAGAUAUUAGGAGGAACACCAGUGGCGAAGGCGGCUUGCUGGGCGAUGACUGACGUUGAGGCUCGAAAGCGUGGGGAGCAAACAGGAUUAGAUACCCUUGUAGUC
rnacentral:rRNA from 1 species